rnacentral:ncRNA from 1 species
UGGUCCCAGCCUUGAAAUCAACUGUUACUCUACUUAUACAUGCAAGUAUCCGCACCCCUGUGAAAACGCCCUUAAAUCCCUAACAGGGAUAAGGAGCUGGUAUCAGGCACAAUAAUUAGCCCAAAACACCUAGCUACGCCACCCCCACAAGGGAAAUCAGCAGUAACUAACAUUGAAAAUAAGCGCCAGCUUGAUUCAGUUAGAGUAAAAAGGGCAGGCAAAUUUGGUGCCAGCCGCCGCGGUUACACCAUGUGGCCCAAAUUGAUUUCUUCCGGCGUAAAGAGUGAUUAAAGAAACAACAUAAUGUAGUUAAACUAUGCUUUAGUAGUGAUAAGCUUAUGCCUAGGAAAUCCAAAAACGAAAGUUACUACACUCAAAACAACUUGAACUCACGACAGCUAUGACACAAACUAGGAUUAGAUACCCUACUAUGCUUAGCCACAAACUUUUAAUUACACAAAGAACGCCAGGGAACUACGAGCAAAGCUUAAAACCCAAAGGACUUGACGGUACCCCAUAUCCCCCUAGAGGAGCCUGUCCUAUCAUCGAUGAUCCCCGUUUAACCUCACCAUCUUUAGCCAAAUCAGUCUGUAUACCUCCGUCGUCAGCUUACCACAUGAGUGCUCCAGUGAGUAUAACGUCUAUUUACCCACAAUACGUCAGGUCAAGGUGCAACUAACGAGAUGGGAAGAGAUGGGCUACACUUUCUAACAUAGAACAAACGAAAAACUACUAUGAAAACUAGUUUAAAGGUGGAUUUAGCAGUAAAAAAAGACUAGAGAGCUUAUUUUAAUCGGGCUCUGGGGUGUGUACACACCGCCCGUCACCCUCUUCGCAGCCCUAAAACAGUAUUUAACAAAAACAAUGCUAGUAGAAGAGGUAAGUCGUAACAUGGUAAGUAUACCGGAAGGUGUGCUUGGAAA